UUACAGUAUGGAAAUUGGUGAUUUAUAAUAACUUGGCAAUCGCAAAGUGAAAACAGGCGAUAAAUCAUUCAAGUUUCUGACCUAUCAGCUUUCGACGGUAUGGUAUUGGCUUACCGUGGCAGUGACGGUUAACGGGGGAUUAGGGUUCGAUUCCGGAGAGGGAGCCUGAGAAACGGCUACCACAUCUAAGGAAGGCAGCAGGCGCGCAAAUUACCCAAUUCUAACAGUUUGAGAGAGGUAGUAACAAGAAAUAACAAUACAAGGCAAUUAAAAUGCUUUGUAAUUGGAAUGAUAGAAAUUUAACCCUUUUUAAAGUAUCAAUUGGAGGGCAAGUCUGGUGCCAGCAGCCGCGGUAAUUCCAGCUCCAAUAGCGUAUAUUAAAAUUGUUGCAGUUAAAAAGCUCGUAGUUGAAGUUCUGCUAAAAGUACCGGUCUGCUUUUAAUAAAGUGGUAUCUUGGUGUGUAUUUAGCAAUGAUGUCCUUUGAAGGGUUUUUUACUUUAUGGAAAAAAGCAUAUUCGGGACUUUUUACUUUGAAAAAAUUAAAGGGUUUCUAGCAGGCCGACCCUU
rnacentral:rRNA from 1 species